rnacentral:rRNA from 1 species
UUGGAGGGCAAUCUCGUGCCAGCAGCCGCGGUAAUUCCAGCUCCAAUAGCGUAUAUUAAAGUUGUUGCAGUUAAAAAGCUCGUAGUUGAAUUUCGGGAUCAGAUUGUCGGUCGUGCCUCGGUACGCACUGGCAUUAUUGGUUCCUACCUUCUGAAGAACCGCGAUGUCAUUAAUUUGGUGUCACGGGGAAUCAGGACUGUUACUUUGAAAAAAUUAGAGUGUUUAAAGCAGGCGCACGCUUGAAUACAUUAGCAUGGAAUAAUGAAAUAGGACGUUUGAUUCUAUUUUGUUGGUUUCUAGGAUCGACGUAAUGAUUAAUAGGGAUAGUUGGGGGCAUUAGUAUUCAAUUGUCAGAGGUGAGAUUCUUGGAUUUAUUGAAGACUAACUACUGCGAAAGCAUUUGCCAAGGAUGUUUUCAUUAAUCAAGAACGAAAGUUAGGGGAUCGAAGACGAUCAGAUACCGUCGUAGUCUUAACCAUAAACUAUGCCGACUAGGGAUCGGAUGAUGUUAAUUUUUUAAUGACUCAUUCGGCACCUUACGGGAAAC